rnacentral:rRNA from 1 species
GGGUUGUGAGGUUAAGCGACUAAGCGUACACGGUGGAUGCCCUGGCAGUCAGAGGCGAUGAAGGACGUGCUAAUCUGCGAAAAGCGUCGGUAAGGUGAUAUGAACCGUUAUAACCGGCGAUGUCCGAAUGGGGAAACCCAGUGCAAUUCGUUGCACUAUCGUUAACUGAAUACAUAGGUUAACGAGGCGAACCGGGGGAACUGAAACAUCUAAGUACCCCGAGGAAAAGAAAUCAACCGAGAUUCCCCCAGUAGCGGCGAGCGAACGGGGAGCAGCCCAGAGUCUGAAUCAGCUUGUGUGUUAGUGGAACGGUCUGGAAAGUCCGACGGUACAGGGUGAUAGUCCCGUACACCAAAAUGCACAGGCUGUGAACUCGAAGAGUAGGGCGGGACACGUGGUAUCCUGUCUGAAUAUGGGGGGACCAUCCUCCAAGGCUAAAUACUCCUGACUGACCGAUAGUGAACCAGUACCGUGAGGGAAAGGCGAAAAGAACCCCGGCGAGGGGAGUGAAAAAGAACCUGAAACCGUGUACGUACAAGCAGUGGGAGCACCUUCGGGUGUGACUGCGUACCUUUUGUAUAAUGGGUCAGCGACUUAUAUUCUGUAGCAAGGUUAACCGUAUAGGGGAGCCGCAGGGAAACCGAGUCUUAACUGGGCGUUAAGUUGCAGGGUAUAGACCCGAAACCCGGUGAUCUAGCCAUGGGCAGGUUGAAGGUUGGGUAACACUAACUGGAGGACCGAACCGACUAAUGUUGAAAAAUUAGCGGAUGACUUGUGGCUGGGGGUGAAAGGCCAAUCAAACCGGGAGAUAGCUGGUUCUCCCCGAAAGCUAUUUAGGUAGCGCCUCGUGAACUCAUCUUCGGGGGUAGAGCACUGUUUCGGCUAGGGGGUCAUCCCGACUUACCAACCCGAUGCAAACUACGAAUACCGAAGAAUGUUAUCACGGGAGACACACGGCGGGUGCUAACGUCCGUCGUGAAGAGGGAAACAACCCAGACCGCCAGCUAAGGUCCCAAAGUCAUGGUUAAGUGGGAAACGAUGUGGGAAGGCACAGACAGCCAGGAUGUUGGCUUAGAAGCAGCCAUCAUUUAAAGAAAGCGUAAUAGCUCACUGGUCGAGUCGGCCUGCGCGGAAGAUGUAACGGGGCUAAACCAUGCACCGAAGCUGCGGCAGCGACACUAUGUGUUGUUGGGUAGGGGAGCGUUCUGUAAGCCUGCGAAGGUGACCUGUGAGGGUUGCUGGAGGUAUCAGAAGUGCGAAUGCUGACAUAAGUAACGAUAAAGCGGGUGAAAAGCCCGCUCGCCGGAAGACCAAGGGUUCCUGUCCAACGUUAAUCGGGGCAGGGUGAGUCGACCCCUAAGGCGAGGCCGAAAGGCGUAGUCGAUGGGAAACAGGUUAAUAUUCCUGUACUUGGUGUUACUGCGAAGGGGGGACGGAGAAGGCUAUGUUAGCCGGGCGACGGUUGUCCCGGUUUAAGCAUGUAGGCUGGUUGUCCAGGCAAAUCCGGAUAAUCAAGGCUGAGGUGUGAUGACGAGGCACUACGGUGCUGAAGUAACAAAUGCCCUGCUUCCAGGAAAAGCCUCUAAGCAUCAGGUAACAUCAAAUCGUACCCCAAACCGACACAGGUGGUCAGGUAGAGAAUACCAAGGCGCUUGAGAGAACUCGGGUGAAGGAACUAGGCAAAAUGGUGCCGUAACUUCGGGAGAAGGCACGCUGGUGUGUAGGUGAAGCCCCUGCGGGUGGAGCUGAGACCAGUCGAAGAUACCAGCUGGCUGCAACUGUUUAUUAAAAACACAGCACUGUGCAAACACGAAAGUGGACGUAUACGGUGUGACGCCUGCCCGGUGCCGGAAGGUUAAUUGAUGGGGUUAUCCGUAAGGAGAAGCUCUUGAUCGAAGCCCCGGUAAACGGCGGCCGUAACUAUAACGGUCCUAAGGUAGCGAAAUUCCUUGUCGGGUAAGUUCCGACCUGCACGAAUGGCGUAAUGAUGGCCAGGCUGUCUCCACCCGAGACUCAGUGAAAUUGAACUCGCUGUGAAGAUGCAGUGUACCCGCGGCAAGACGGAAAGACCCCGUGAACCUUUACUAUAGCUUGACACUGAACAUUGAGCCUUGAUGUGUAGGAUAGGUGGGAGGCUUUGAAGCGUGGACGCCAGUCUGCGUGGAGCCAACCUUGAAAUACCACCCUUUAAUGUUUGAUGUUCUAACGUUGGCCCCUUACCGGGGUUGCGGACAGUGUCUGGUGGGUAGUUUGACUGGGGCGGUCUCCUCCCAAAGCGUAACGGAGGAGCACGAAGGUUAGCUAAUCCUGGUCGGACAUCAGGAGGUUAGUGCAAUGGCAUAAGCUAGCUUGACUGCGAGCGUGACGGCGCGAGCAGGUGCGAAAGCAGGUCAUAGUGAUCCGGUGGUUCUGAAUGGAAGGGCCAUCGCUCAACGGAUAAAAGGUACUCCGGGGAUAACAGGCUGAUACCGCCCAAGAGUUCAUAUCGACGGCGGUGUUUGGCACCUCGAUGUCGGCUCAUCACAUCCUGGGGCUGAAGUAGGUCCCAAGGGUAUGGCUGUUCGCCAUUUAAAGUGGUACGCGAGCUGGGUUUAGAACGUCGUGAGACAGUUCGGUCCCUAUCUGCCGUGGGCGCUGGAGAAUUGAGGGGGGCUGCUCCUAGUACGAGAGGACCGGAGUGGACGCAUCACUGGUGUUCGGGUUGUCAUGCCAAUGGCACUGCCCGGUAGCUAAAUGCGGAAGAGAUAAGUGCUGAAAGCAUCUAAGCACGAAACUUGCCCCGAGAUGAGUUCUCCCUGAGACUUUAAGUCUCCUGAAGGAACGUUGAAGACGACGACGUUGAUAGGCCGGGUGUGUAAGCGCAGCGAUGCGUUGAGCUAACCGGUACUAAUGAACCGUGAGGCUUAACCUUACAACGCCGAAG